rnacentral:rRNA from 1 species
UACGUAGGGGGCUAGCGUUGUCCGGAAUCAUUGGGCGUAAAGAGCGUGUAGGCGGCCCGGUAAGUCCGCUGUGAAAGUCCAGGGCUCAACCCUGGAAGGCCGGUGGAAACUGUCGGGCUAGAGUCCGGAAGAGGCGAGUGGAAUUCCCGGUGUAGCGGUGAAAUGCGCAGAUAUCGGGAGGAACACCAAUGGCGAAGGCAGCUCGCUGGGACGGUACUGACGCUGAGACGCGAAAGCGUGGGGAGCGAACAGG